AGAGUGAACGCUGGCGGUAGGCCUAACACAUGCAAGUCGAACGGCAGCACAGUAGGAGCUUGCUCUUACGGGUGGCGAGUGGCGGACGGGUGAGGAAUACAUCGGAAUCUACCUUUUGGUGGGGGAUAACGUAGGGAAACUUACGCUAAUACCGCAUACGCCCUUCGGGGGAAAGCCGGGGACCAGCAAUGGCCUGGCGCUGAUAGAUGAGCCGAUGUCGGAUUAGCUAGUUGGUGAGGUAAUGGCUCACCAAGGCGACGAUCCGUAGCUGGUCUGAGAGGAUGAUCAGCCACACUGGAACUGAGACACGGUCCAGACUCCUACGGGAGGCAGCAGUGGGGAAUAUUGGACAAUGGGCGCAAGCCUGAUCCAGCCAUACCGCGUGGUGAAGAAGGCCUUCGGUGUAAAGCCCUUUGUGGAAAGUAAAGCAGUUCGUAAUACCCGGUGUUCUGACGUACCAAAGAAUAAGCACGCUAACUCGUGCCAGCAGCCGCGUAAC
rnacentral:rRNA from 1 species